GGGAACGGAAGGAAGGCCACGACCGAAAGGAAGAAAUUGCUAAUGGUGUUCAGUGGAGUCCAAUGCCAUAUCUUUAAAGUCUCGACCAUUAUAGUACCGUGUUUGCAAUUGGCGCCUGGCGGUGCCGUGCGUGCGAAGCCCAUUAAAGCCGGUGCCAUGCUUGCAAAAAUCUAAUUGAAGAGAGUCUAAUGUUGGGGGUUGCAUGAAUAAAAAAAACUCGUUUAUUCCCCAACCAUCCUCUCUUCCUCGCCGCAAAGCCCCUAAACCUCCACCUCCAACGGCGGCGCUUCCCCCUCUCCGCCGUCUCCUGGCCCUCCGCGGCCACCGACGCCUCCUCUCCACACCCGCCGCCUCAUCCAACAACCGCCUUUCCCCAGAGGCCGUGCUCUACAACAUCCACAGCCUCUCCAAGGACCCCUCCCAAGCGCUCGCCGUCUUCCGCCGCUCCGUCGCCGCCGGCCAGCCAGUUGGCUCCGCGGCAUACAACCUCAUGCUCCGCACCCUCGCCUCCCACCCCUCUGCGCAGCGCCAUUUCUGGCCCUUCCUCCGCGAGAUGCAGGAGGCUGGCCACUCCGUCGACCAGGGCACCUACCUCGCUGCUCUCGCCUCCUUCAAGAAGGCCAGUCUCACCGCCGACUAUGCCUCCCUCACCGCGCAUUACGACAAGUUCCGGAAAGGUGCCAAGUCCGCCACCGCGGCGGCGGAGGCGGUCCGGGACCACGACGCCGCGGGCCUCGAUAGCAGGCUCUCCGCCAUCGGUCUCCUUCCGCUUACGGAGACCUCCGUCACCACGGUGCUCCGAGAGCUGAGGGAGCAUCCGAUUAAGGCUCUCGCCUUCUUCAGAUGGGCUGGGCGGCAGCAGGGGUACACGCACAGCUCCGUGGCCUACAAUGCCAUGGCAAGGGUGCUCGGCAGGGAGGAGUCAGUGCCGGAGUUUUGGGACUUGAUCCGGGAAACAAAGGCUGCUGGGAUGCACGUCGAUAUCGACACUUACCUCAAGCUGUCCAGGAACUUCCAGAGGCGCCACAUGGUCCGGGAGGCUGUGGAGCUAUAUGAGCUCAUGAUGGAUGGCCCUUUCAAGCCAGCACAGCAGGAUGGACCCAUCAUCAUCAGGCGCAUCUCGAUGGGGCCGUCGCCAGAUCUUGAGCUUGUCAAUCGGGUUGUCAACAAGUUUGAGGCUGUCUGGGGCGUCAAGACCAAGGAGUUGCUUGAUGGGGUCCAUAGGGCGCUUACACGUAAUGGGAUGUUCGAUGAGGCUGCAGAGAUUGUGCAAACAAUGAAGGCCCAAGGCCACCAGCCGGACAAUGUUACAUAUAGCCAGUUGGUGUAUGGUCUUUGCAAGGCUGACAAGCUGGAGGAUGCUCGCAAGGUGCUCGAUGAAAUGGAGGCUGAAGGGUGUGUCCCAGAUUUGAAGACUUGGACCCUGUUGAUCCAUGGUUGCUGUUUAGCUGGGGAUGUGGAUAGAGCUGUGCAAUACUUAACCGAGAUGAUCGAAAAGGGCUUGGACGCAGAUGCCAAUUUGCUGGAUGUGAUAUUGAAAGGUCUAUGUAGCCAUGAAAAGGUCGAAGAGGCUUACUCUUUCUUUAUUGAGAUGGUGGAUAAGACUGAGUUGAGGCCUUGGCAAGGCACUUGCCAGCAUCUAAUUAAUGACUUGCUGAGGGUAAACAAACUUGAGGAGGCACUGUCUCUUCUGAAGACAAUGAAAACCUGCAAGUUCCCACCUUUCGCCGAUCCAUUCCCUCCUUACAUUGCCAAGUAUGGAACGGUUGAAGAUGCAAGGAACUUUUUCAAGGCCAUGACAGUGAAUACUUCUCCAGAACCUGUUGCCUACCUGCAUGUUCUCAAGUUGUUCUUUGCGGAGGGAAGAUAUUCUGAAGCUCAAGAUCUACUGUAUGGAUGCCCUAAUCACAUCCGCAAGCACCCCGAUGUCAUUAAACUGUUUGGAUCAAUAAAAGUUGAGAGUGCCUCUGCUUCUAGAUUGGGUUCAAGCAAGCAAUAGUUGGUGAGAUUAUGAUGAACCCUUAGGUUUGCAUGCUAGCUAGCUUUAUGUUUUUAAGUAGCCUUGGUAUUGGGUACUUUUAACAAAUGAUCCAUCUUUUAAUGAUAUAUGGUUCAACUAAGUCGAAUUUCAGUAUAUGCCACUCCCAGCCCAUAAUCUGCUGGCAUAUUCCCCUAUAACUUAGCUUCAGAGGAAGGUGCCAACUGGCACGUCCUUGAAACUGUUGUUUUUCGUCAUUGUUCCUACUUGCUAGUAUCGUUGCAACUAUGCUGAUGGAUUUUCCUUCAAAAUGCAUCAAAGCAUUUGCUAAGAGUUUGAACACCAUGUUUGUUAUACUGGCGAUUAUCAAUGUCAGGAGCUCUGAAAUGCAAGUGCUUUGACAAAUAAGAUUAUAUGAUCGCAUCCACCAGCAGCAUUUCUUAAUAUUGCUACUUGCCUCAAAUAUUUGAUCUGGUGUGAUGUCUGAUGCAUUUUAACAUGACAAUUUUACUGAAAAUAAAAAUUCUGUGGAGUUACAGCUCUGCGUGUCCAGAACCUUGGCAGGUGCUGUAUGCUUUAAUGAUAUUUGAUUUAUUGGAGUAUCCAUAUGAGCAUGUCAAGACUCUUCAACUUGGAGAAAUUUGCUAUUAUGGAGAUCCUCACGUGCGGCUUCGACGUUUUGGAGGCGUAGGCGAGGAAUUAGCUAAUAUGGAAAAGCAGGGAAUAGACCACCCGCUAAAACGAACAAGAACACUCUAUUACUUGGUAACCUCUUUGAUUAAAACCAUGAAUACUCACGUCGUCUACAUCCGUUACCUCUCUCCUAGCAGCCGUUAUUCUUUUCUCCUCUUCUCUUCCUACGCAAAUUUCUCUGGAAUGCAGCAGUCGUCUUCCUCGUCCUUGCAACAGCCGCUAGCCCAAGCUCCAUAGCCGUUCCUCCCUGCGCGCGCGUCUCUAUCUUUCUCCCUGCUGUGUUCUCUCUCCAGCAUCCAGCUUCUCCUACGCACGGCUCUAGCUCCACGCUCGCCCUCUCUAGUUCUCCCACGGGAGCACGCCUGCCGGAGCUUCUUCCUCUCCCUGCUCGCCAGCGUUCGGACUGCGGCCUCCUUCUCUUGCUCCGGCGUCGAGCUCCUUCCCUGCCGCGGCAUUGCUGCUCCAGCCGCGCCGCUCCUCUCUCCUUCCCCCAUCUCUCUCCAGCCGUGCGCCCUCCCUGCUCCCUAGAGCUUCCUUGCCGCGCCCAAGAUUCCUCCAUGGCUGCACGCUCCUCCUUGCUCGCUCCUCCUUCGGCUCGUCCCUCUCUCUGCUUGCAGCGUCCGGCCGAGCGUCCCUGCGUGCCGCGGUUCCUCGCCUGUAUCCCUCCCCUGUGGCCACGCCUGGUUCUCUGCUUCCUCUGCCAAGUCCGGCCGGAGCUCUUUCCCUGCUCGGAUUUCGCUCAAGCUCACGCUCCGCUCGUCCAUGGCGUGUCCCCAUGGCUGUGGCCGCGAUGGUCGGGGCCGGCCGUCGUGUGCCCUGCAGCGCGCCCAGGCACACUCUCUGCGAUGAUCUUGCUCGUGGAAAGUGCCAGAGACAGCGGAAUCACCAUUGCCCCAGCGCCGGUGGCAGCCAUGCCCUUCCCGUACCAUUCAUGGUAAUCAAGCAGCCGUUUCUCUGACCAGUCAUGUAUCGCCCCAAGAACACUCAAGAGCACAGCCGUUUCUCUGACCAGUCAUGUAUCGCCACAAGAACACUCGAGAGCACCUGGGCGUACACCGGGUCGCGGUGCUCCUGCUUCGCGUCGGCUGCCACAUCACCGAGCAUCGUGAGUGCGGCGCCGGCGAGGUCCGGCUCGAUCUGCCCGGUGGCCACGUACUGCUGGAAGAGCACCCAAGCGCGUGGAACGAUGCGGUGCCGGGACCCGCGCGCAUGGUAGGCGGCCGGAGUAGCGACGACGGCGUCCUCGUCAGCUUACUGGCUCCGCCGCCGUGCCCGUCCCCCCGCCGUUUCUGAAGCGAGGAGAAGGAGAGAAGAGAGAGAAGGGACAAGACGGGAAAGCAGCGAGCACUCACGGCGCUGGGACGGCGGCUGUCUCAACGGUCCUAAUCGUUGUUCACUACGGGUAAUAGCGUGGUCAUGUCCAUUUUGAAGUGUGGGUUGUCCUCUAGUUUUCCAUAAUAGAGAAUCCCUCGCCUACGCAUCCAAAUCGUCGAAGCCGCAUCUGAAGACAUCCAUAAUGGCAAAUUUCUCCUUCAACUUGUAGCUCCUACAGCUUUCUCCAAUUUUUUUUUGAUCAGUGCAGUUUUUUUCUUAUCUAAUCAUGGAGUUGGCUAAUAAUUAGAAGAAAAUGUAUGCUUGAUGCCAUGGCUUUCAAGUCGCCUCGUCGCCAGGUCAUUGAUGGUGACCGAUUAGGCAAAUAAUCACGAUUAGGACGUCGACCAGGCUGAUUAAUCGGUGACAGGUCGGCCACCUAGUCGUCCUAAACUUCCUGUACUAAUCAGGACAUAUAUAAUUAUAUAUAGUUAUAUACACUAUAGUGUAUUGUUAUAUACUAUAUAAUAUACUUCAAACAGCAGUAGGUAAUCAAAACUACAGCAGCAUUUAACUCAAACUCAAACAGCAGUAAUCAAAACUACAGCAGUAAUCAAAGUACCAACUCAAACAGCAGUAGCUAUUUAGCAGUACUCAAAGUAUCAAACAGCAUUACAGCAGAGUAGCAAUCACCUUGAGUAGCACCUCAAACGAAACUAAUGCAAACUCUACUCAAAGUCUCAAACACAAACGAAUGCAAACUGCACUCAAAGUCUCAAACCAUGACGUGGGCGAUCAGCAAACUGAAUGCUUGAUCCAUGGUGUACUACUUCUGUACUGCACUCAAAUCAAAGCUUGAUCAGGGACAGGGAUCACGGUACCUUUAGAUGAGGUGCUCAUCUUCCUCAGGUCUUGAUCAUAGAGGAGUCGCCGAAGUUGUUCAGAUUGAAGUUGCCGGUGUUUCUUGAUCAGGGAGGCGCCAGCGCCACCGGAGUUGGUCAGGGAGGAGGAGCAGCCGGCUUUUUUCUUAGGGAGGAGGAAUGGAGGAAACGCCAGGAAACAAAAGAAGCAGCAGCCGGCCAGCCAGGAAGUAGAAGAGAGAGAGAUGAAAUAAGGAAAGGAAUUUGGGAUUUGGAAAGCCAGCCAAUCAGAAGCGAAAAUGAUGGGACUUGGUAGAUACAUACGUAUACGUAUCAUAUUAAAUUGUAUGAGUGGCCCUCAAGGUUUGAAGGAGUUUGGCCAGGCAUGAUGUAGAUUGGUAACAGAAAGCACUUGUAUGGAGUAUACCAUUGUGUCUCUUCUUUGGAAGAUGCUGCUUCCCUUGUGCA